rnacentral:rRNA from 1 species
UUGAACGCUGGCGGCAGGCCUAACACAUGCAAGUCGAACGGUAGCACAGAGAGCUUGCUCUCGGGUGACGAGUGGCGGACGGGUGAGUAAUGUCUGGGAAACUGCCUGAUGGAGGGGGAUAACUACUGGAAACGGUAGCUAAUACCGCAUAACGUCGCAAGACCAAAGAGGGGGACCUUCGGGCCUCUUGCCAUCAGAUGUGCCCAGAUGGGAUUAGCUAGUAGGUGGGGUAACGGCUCACCUAGGCGACGAUCCCUAGCUGGUCUGAGAGGAUGACCAGCCACACUGGAACUGAGACACGGUCCAGACUCCUACGGGAGGCAGCAGUGGGGAAUAUUGCACAAUGGGCGCAAGCCUGAUGCAGCCAUGCCGCGUGUAUGAAGAAGGCCUUCGGGUUGUAAAGUACUUUCAGCGGGGAGGAAGGCGAUAAGGUUAAUAACCUUGUCGAUUGACGUUACCCGCAGAAGAAGCACCGGCUAACUCCGUGCCAGCAGCCGCGGUAAUACGGAGGGUGCAAGCGUUAAUCGGAAUUACUGGGCGUAAAGCGCACGCAGGCGGUCUGUCAAGUCGGAUGUGAAAUCCCCGGGCUCAACCUGGGAACUGCAUUCGAAACUGGCAGGCUGGAGUCUUGUAGAGGGGGGUAGAAUUCCAGGUGUAGCGGUGAAAUGCGUAGAGAUCUGGAGGAAUACCGGUGGCGAAGGCGGCCCCCUGGACAAAGACUGACGCUCAGGUGCGAAAGCGUGGGGAGCAAACAGGAUUAGAUACCCUGGUAGUCCACGCUGUAAACGAUGUCGACUUGGAGGUUGUUCCCUUGAGGAGUGGCUUCCGGAGCUAACGCGUUAAGUCGACCGCCUGGGGAGUACGGCCGCAAGGUUAAAACUCAAAUGAAUUGACGGGGGCCCGCACAAGCGGUGGAGCAUGUGGUUUAAUUCGAUGCAACGCGAAGAACCUUACCUACUCUUGACAUCCACGGAACUUAGCAGAGAUGCUUUGGUGCCUUCGGGAACCGUGAGACAGGUGCUGCAUGGCUGUCGUCAGCUCGUGUUGUGAAAUGUUGGGUUAAGUCCCGCAACGAGCGCAACCCUUAUCCUUUGUUGCCAGCGAUUCGGUCGGGAACUCAAAGGAGACUGCCAGUGAUAAACUGGAGGAAGGUGGGGAUGACAUCAAGUCAUCAUGGCCCUUACGAGUAGGGCUACACACGUGCUACAAUGGCAUAUACAAAGAGAAGCGACCUCGCGAGAGCAAGCGGACCUCAUAAAGUAUGUCGUAGUCCGGAUUGGAGUCUGCAACUCGACUCCAUGAAGUCGGAAUCGCUAGUAAUCGUGGAUCAGAAUGCCACGGUGAAUACGUUCCCGGGCCCUGUACACACCGCCCGUCACACCAUGGGAGUGGGUUGCAAAAGAAGUAGGUAGCUUAACCUUCGGGAGGGCGCUUACCACUUUGUGAUUCAUGACUGGGGUG